GGGCGCGUAGCUCAGCGGGAGAGCACUACGUUGACAUCGUAGGGGUCACUGGUUCGAUCCCAGUCGCGCCCACCA
rnacentral:tRNA from 6 species